GACGAACGCUGGCGGCGUGCUUAACACAUGCAAGUCGAACGAAGUGGCGAACGGGUGAGUAAUGCCUAGGAAUAUGCCUGGUAGUGGGGGAUAACGUCCGGACACGGGCUCUAAUAGCGCAUACUAUCAGAUGAGCCUAGGUUGGAUUAUCGAGUUGGUGGGGUAAAGGCCUACCAAGGCGACGAUCCGUAACUGAUCUUAGAGGAUGAUAAGUCACACUGGAACGGAGACACGGUCCAGACUCCUACGGGAGGCAGCAGUGGGGAAUAGUGGACAAUGGGCGAAAGCCUGAUCCAGCCAUGCCGCGUGUGUGAAGAAGGUCGUCGGAUUGUAAAGCACUUUAAGUUGGGAGGCGUUACCAACAGAAUAAGCACCGGCUAACUUCGUGCCAGCCGCCGCGGUAAUAC
rnacentral:rRNA from 1 species